UGCCCCAUGGCUGAGUUGGUUACAGCGUCCGACUGUUAUCCGUUGAGCAUAAAUACAUAACAUCGGAAGGUCGAGAGUUCGAGCCUCUCUGGGGCAG